GCACAAGCGGUGGAGCAUGUGGUUUAAUUCGAUGCAACGCGAAAAACCUUACCUGGUCUUGACAUCCAUAGAAUCUAUUAGAGAUAAUAGAGUGCCUUAGGGAGCUAUGAGACAGGUGCUGCAUGGCUGUCGUCAGCUCGUGUUGUGAAAUGUUGGGUUAAGUCCCGCAACGAGCGCAACCCUUAUCCCCUGUUGCCAUCGGUUCGGCCGGGAACUCAGAGGAGACUGCCGGUUAUAAACCGGAGGAAGGUGGGGACGACGUCAAGUCAUCAUGGCCCUUACGACCAGGGCUACACACGUGCUACAAUGGUGUAUACAAAGAGAAGCAACUCUGUAAGGAUAAGCAAACCUCAUAAAGUACAUCGUAGUCCGGACUGGAGUCUGCAACUCGACUCACGAAGUCGGAAUCGCUAGUAAUCGUGGAUCAGAAUGCCACGGUGAAUACGUUCCCGGGCCUUGUACA
rnacentral:rRNA from 1 species